CUAAACCUGACAAAAAGAUUGACUAUCAAAACGCCGGUUACGUUUAGCAUUCGCUACAAGCACGGGUAUCGAUGCGAUUGUUACGUUUAUUCAAAUUCCCAAGUCUGUUGCAUUUUAAGCAUCUUACAGCGAUUCGUUGUCACUUGUUAUUGAGACAAGCCUUUGUCCGUGAAAAAUGUAGAUUCGUUAAAAAUGAUCGUUCAUUCGUAAUUCGUGCCCAGAUAAGAAAUUUGCCUAUCCGCGUUGAAGGGAUCGCGAGCAACUUCUGUGACUCACUGUGUAUACGUGCGCAGCGUGAAGGUAAGAAACGUGGAAGGUAAUGCCCGGGCACCGAGGUUCGAGUUCCCUUCGCACGAGUCGUGGUGAAAGUCGCUUCGAAUCAGACUAGCGGGCUAUCCCCACCGGGACGUGUCUUCGCGUUAAUGUCGUUUUCCCAUAGAAAUCCCCGGUGUUGCCUCUCCCUCUAUCCCCCACAGCGAUCGACUAACGACGCUAUCCACAGGACGACCGCGAAAAUUCCGCCGUAGCUUCCGGUCCAUGCUCGCGUUCCGUUCCGCGGAUCGUGUAACGAGCCAACAGCGUCCGGGAGAUACUCGCACCGUUGGCAGGUAACACUAUCGAACGGGAUUCGCCGUUGUUUUUCUACACAUGCCAGAGACGCGACAUCUCGAGUCUCGAGUUUCACCGGUUUGUUCUUCUGUGAGACGCGGUGGUGUUUUCAGUUUGUCUGUGGAGAACUGGUCCGUUUGGAAGGAUGGAAGAGGGGGAGGAGCGCUGAACGGACUCGACGCUAUGUGUUUAUUUACCUUGCGCUCCUUCGACCGCUGCGAAGGAAUCGUGUAGGAAUCGAUCGUUUCACAGUAGAAACUACACGCGUGUUUUCUCUUGGACAGGCAUUUCGACGGAUUCUAGAGCAGUGUCUCUCAAACGUCAGCUACCCGCAGGUGACGAAAGGAGUGUAUAGAAAUAGGAACUUCAAGGGCUGUUAAAUACGCGUCGACUUUAGCGGGAGUUUACUGGUUUACGGACGAGUCCAUGUCGGGAACAGCUUUUAGCGACGUAACCAAGGAGUAAUUCCGCGAAAACGUGCAUCCACGCGAGAGCGCGUUCUCUUUUCAGGCGUCCACGCAACAGGUACGAGCCACCACCGAUCGACGCACUUAUGCGUUAUUGUUGCGUAAUCGCGGCCUAGUUUGCGCCACCAGGCAACUGUGAUAUUCCCAAAUACAAUUUCGUACAAGCAAGUAUCCUGGCAAGCCUCCCCGACACCUAACCUCUCAGACGAAAGCAACAUUUUGUAGCCUAAGCAACUGGGUUGACGUCGAUAAUAACAACGAAUACUCGGCGUAGAUCGUACACGUAGAAUUGUAGAUGCAGAAUUGUAGAUGCAGAAACAAUAACGUAAACGAAUAAUGGCGUAGGCUUGCGGCUCGCACUGGCAUUAACGGCGUAUGCAAAUUGCUAGGCGUAAGCGAAAGACGUGGACGAGUAAAAACGUCUCCCCGAGAAAUGUCUGCGCGUCGAUUUGCGUAAUUGACCAGUAAAAUGGUUCCAAAUACGCGAUUUGCGUCGGGGAUUUCACUUCCAGUCGCCCUGGCCGUUUUACCGCGAUCCAUACACCGCAAGAGUGUACUACUACUCGAAACUACUACUAGAAGCUAUUUCGCGGUACGGUAUUUACUACCAGGAAAGACGAAGUGUCUUUAAAAUACUUUGAAUAAAUUAAUUGAAAGUACUACACGAAUUAUUUUUGCAUUCUUAGAAAAAGUCUCUUUGAGACAGAUGGCAAAAAAAAAAAUGGAGAGUGCCAGUUUUUGCCCGACUCUUGAGUUCUUGCAACGCUGGGGUUCUGGUCGGUGGAAGAGAAGAGAGCGUCACAAUGCACGAAAGUGCCCAGGCCUCGGUCUAUUCAUGGAAAAAAUGAAAACGCACGGCUGGAUAGCGAAAAUAGCGAAAGUGGUUUCACCUGGGGCCACACGUUUGUUACGCUACUAUCUCUCCCGGGUCGUCUCGGACUCGUAAAGUCUCUCUCGCUUUCCCUCGGUCGGUGAGCACAUUUCACGCGAAGAUCUUGUCUAUGACGAGCCGGUCGGAGGAACCGAAGGAACGAGCCACGCCAGCUAUUAACCCCGUCCGUUUUUCCAAUCGAGGAUCUUAGGGCCGCGGUUGCAAAAGAACGCCAUUAGCAUGGAAGCACGCAACGCCCACACGCACGUCCGUACGUCGUGCGCAUUGACUAAUCGUCGAACCGUGCAUCGGAUGCUCGAGCGGAACCGCGA